AUUGAAUGCCGGCGGCAGGCCUAACACAUGCAAGCCGAACGAGUGGCGGACGGGGGAGUAAUGCCUGGGAAACAGCCCGAGGGAGGGGGAUAACUACUGGAAACGGUAGCUAAUACCGAGUACCAUCGGAUGUGCCCAGAUGGGAUUAGCUUGUAGGUGGGGGAACGACUCACCUAGGCGACGAUCCCUAGCUGGUCUGAGAGGAUGACCAGCCACACUGGAACUGAGACACGGUCCUGACUCCUACGGGAGGCAGCAGUGGGGAAUAUUGCACAAUGGUCGCAAGCCUUAUGCAGCCAUGCCGCGUGUAUGGAGAAGGCCUUCGGGUUGUAAAGUACUUUCAGCGGGGAGGCGUUACCCGCAGAAGAGGCACCGGCUAACUCCGUGCCAGCAGCCGCGGUAAUAC
rnacentral:rRNA from 1 species